UCCCUGGAGGCCUAGUGGUUAGGCCACAGCACUCUCACCACUGUGGCCUGGGAUCAAUUCAAGGCCAGGGAA